rnacentral:tRNA from 1 species
UAGGAUUUAGGUUAAUCAAACCUGUUGCCUUCAAAGCAAUUAAUAAGAAUUUAACUUUCUUAAUCUUAA